CCAGGAAGUAGGGCCAAUCCCCAGGAGCAGGCAGCGGGGUCUCGGGGUCCGUGUGCCACGUGGGGAGAAGCGGUUCCCCCGCUUGGAGGGCGUUUGGUAGAGGCCAUGCGGCCUCCCCUCGGGCAAGGGUCCCAGCGGAUCCUGGAGAGCAGCCCCGUUUGCUGGUUUGGGGACAAAGACGCCAGAGUGGGGUGGCACCGGCCGUGUUGUGGUUUGCCUUAAUCUCUGAACCUCUGCCCUCGUGCGGUUACACGAACGUUUUCUGGGGCAACGUGGGACCACCGCUCAGCAACGUCCUCCCCAGAGAGUCGGCUGGAGUCCGCGCCAGGGGGCCUCUGAAGUGCGGGCUUUUGAAACACAGCGCAUCUGAGAUAAAACCAGGGAGGGAGGUGCGGCCCGGCAGGCAGCCGGCUGGGACACGGACAGGGUAGAGGCGGGGAGUGGACGGAGGCCUGAGACAAACGAGGGGUGCUCGAUCGAUCGCGGGUCUGUGAGCGCACAGAGCUCCCGGGGGUCGGCGAUGAGGGGGCUGGGCGAAGCCACGCCCACUCUCCCACGCGCACCUGCACUCGCACUGAUCCACCCCAGUCCGCUAAGCAGUGCCACCUAGUGGAGAACGGAGCCGUCACACCAAGCCCCGCCCAACAAAUUGUUACUGCGUGAAGAAAACAACGGAUUUGGGGGUUGCUAGUUUAUUAUCACAGAAAUUAAGCAAUGAGUUUCUGUGUUUGCCCUGACUGAUAAGUCGUGAACGGAAAUGAUUUGCAAUGACGCACCACUCCUGGAGGAAAACGGUUGAGGAGAGGAUUGAUUGUCAAAUGAGCACAGAGCCCCUGCUUUCCCCAUUGUUACCAUCCAGUGUCUACACCUGGGGACUCCGGUUUUUACCUCAGACAGCAGGACUCACCUACGAAGAUCUGGAGGGAUCCAGAGAACAAUCAUUUUAGCUUUCAGCAGGUUACAGGCCUCACGGCUAACACAUCGGCUGCACAAGCCGAGGAACCUGGGGAUCCCCCCCGGACGGCGCCGAAGUCCCGCCUGCAGGGGUUGCUGGACUAAUGAUCUGUCACUUUCUGUAAACACUCAUCUCAGACCCACGAACCCACAGGUUCAUUCGCUGAACCUUAAAGUUUCUGGACCCUUUCUUCUGCGAUGUCCAAUCCAUUAACUCACAUUGCGAUUGCUUGGAACUCAGCAGCAACAUAAGGAAAUAUUUAUGAAGCACAACGUUCCAGGAGAGGGAAGAAGCGUGCGGGGGACAGACAGACGCACGGUUCAGAGCAGCAUAAUUCACACUGUUCCGGGUGUUGCUGGAAAAGCACAGCAUCCCACAG